rnacentral:lncRNA from 1 species
UUUUCUUUUUGGCUAAUCACUCGCUUUCUGUUUCUCGCAUCUUUAUAUUUUUCUCCGAUUUAUACACAGUCGAAAUCUUUCUCUUUGUGAUUUGCAAAGAAAAGAAAAUGAAGGAAAGUAUGGGCAACCCUCUUCACCUCAAAUCUUUGAACCACAUCUCCCUUGUGUGUAGAUCAGUUGAGGAAUCCAUGAACUUUUAUCAGGAUAUUCUUGGGUUUGUUCCAAUCAGGAGACCUGGAUCAUUUGACUUUAAUGGGGCAUGGUAAUUAUUACCAAAAAGAAAUAAAAUUGUUCUUCUUGUCAAGCUUAAUUUGUUUGAUGAAAUUCCCAAGAAACCUUGGGUUGAUUUUUCAGUAUAUAAUAUGAGUGGGUUAUGAUGCAGGUUGUUUGGAUACGGGAUUGGAAUACAUCUCCUGCAAUCGGAGGAUCCAGAGAGUUUGCCUAAGAAAAAGGAAAUCAAUCCCAAGGAUAAUCACAUUUCUUUCCAGGUUAUUUCAUUUCUUUUCAUUCGGGCAUAUUAUUUUAUUCCUCCUUCCGCUAAUCCAAUAUCUUUAAGUGUAAAGAAACACCAUCCUGCUCUCUACAGAUUAAUAUAGGGUGGAUAUAAAUUGCUACUCUGUUUCUCUUCGAUUAUUCUUAGGACUUCAUUAUAUUAAUCUUUUAAUAAGUCUGUAGUAGGGAUACGAGACACUGGUGCUAAUGCAAACUCCCAAAAAAAACUUUUGACUUACUUUUUAUUUCUAAAGUUAUUGUUUUUGGUAUAACUUGAAUGGAGCACAAGCUUAAAAAUAGUUUUUUAAUUGAAUUCAAGAUCAAUAUCUUGCUUGAGUUCAAUAUUAAGCUUGAGUUUUUCAAUAAUCGAGUUUGAGAAUCAAACUUAAAAAGUAGAUUGUUCAAAACCAAUAUCGAGUUUGAACUUGUCAAUAUUCAGGCUCAAUUACACAAUUAGAAAUAAAUCUUCAAUCGAGUUCAAUAUCAAUAUCGAGCUUGAGUUUGUCAGGCUCGAUUACGCGUUUAAAAAUCGAUCUUCAAUCGAGGUCAAGACCAAUAUCAAGCUUUGCUCAAUAUCGAGAUUGAGCUUGUCAGUGUUCAGGACUCGAUUUUCAAUUGAGUUCAAGAUCAAUAUUGAGCUUGAGUUUGUCGGUAUCAACUAAAAGCUUAAACCUACAUCCUUUGUCACACAACCUGUCCAUACAUUUUGUUUCAAUUUGAUUACUCUUGAGUUGAGCAUAUAAUCCUAACAGAUCCACCUAUUUGUAAUUUAGUAAUGAGAAUGUACCUGCCAAGAAAUCGAACAAGCAAAAAAAGCAAAAUAUCAUGUUACGUUUCUAGUAAAUAUUUGAUCCUUUCUUAAUAUAAAACCAUAGAUGUCAUGACAACCUACCAACUAUGCAUCAUCUUUAACCCUUUUUUUUAAAAUGGUGAUGACGUAUGCACUAAUCAAAGUAAUUAAUUAAAUGUUCAGUGUGAGAGCAUGGGAGCAGUGGAGAAGAAGCUGAAGGAAAUGGAACUGGAAUACGUCCGGGCAAUAGUGGAAGAAGGUGGAAUCUACGUUGAACAACUCUUCUUCCAUGACCCAGAUGGGUUCAUGAUCGAGAUAUGCAACUGUGAUAACCUACCUGUCGUCCCACUAGCCGGUGAGAUGCCUCGUUCAUGCUCCCGACUUAAUCUGCAACACAUGCAGCGUCAGCAGAUACAGCAAGUGGUUCAGCAAUAGGAACGACGAAACAACCUCAGCCUCUUUCAUUUAAUUAGCUGUUUAUUAAUGGAGAUCACUAGAUAAAACCAAACCACCCACCCUAUCUGCUUUGUUUGUUUCUGUAAUGAUCCCUGUUUAAGUAUGUGGUUGGUUUUUUUACUUGUUUUGUAAUAAAGACAAUGCAAUGUGAUCCCAAGGGAAGUGAUCAUUUCAAUUAAUUUAGAAGUGGGUUUCAUAUAUGGUCCCUUUUCUUGCUUGAAUUGCACAAGUCUAUUAUAAUAAAAUGCACAAGUUGAAGCCAGUUUAUUCAUCAUUCACAUGAAUCAGUUUGUUGGGAAGAAAUUACUACUCUUUUUAUUUAUUUCUUGCCCAAGUAUAAUUAAAUCAAGUUGUUUACUAAGAUGACAUGUGUUCAGUAGUUAAUCAAAUAUCAAUUCCUAGUAUAGUGUCUUGUCGAAAAAACCUUCACUGUACAACCCAUAUGAUCGGUCUAUGACUAUCUUGCUCUUUCAACUUUGUCAUGUGAUAUGUAUGUUACCCUUAGAUGUAUGUUUAAGUAGGACUAAGAGGUUCGGGAUUUGUUCCCACCCAUAAUAGUUUAUCUUUUUCGAGAAUGUUCGUGGCUGCUAUUCACAAUAUAAAUAAAUAAUUACAUUUAUAAUUUAGAAAAAAAUAUUAAAAAUCAUAUAAAAUUAAAUAAAGCUUUAUUUGAAAAAGGAAGUUGAAUAAAGGAUUUAUUAAUUUUUAUAUUUAACAAUAUAAAUAAUUAAAAUAUUUUCAUAAUGAUAUAAUUUAAUUUUUAAAAAUAAUAAAUUGAUAUCUAUUUGAUUCGUAACAUUAUUUCAGUUAAUGUUUUUUAAUAUAAUAUUUAUUAAAAAAAUUUUAAAAAAUUAAAUAGAGAUUUGGUUCAACUAUUAAAAUUGAAUAAAAAUAAUAAUAUCUUAGGUUUAAUUUUAUCAUGGGUAUGUCUAUAUCUUUUAUAUACAUAAAAAAUAAAAUAUUCUCAAAAUAAUAAAUUUUACUUUGUAGAAAAGAAUUAUGUUUUAAUUAUUGAUGAGAUAUGACAAUUCAGUACAAGUCUAAACGCAUAAAAUCCACGUAUGUCCAGAGUUUUAAUUUGACAAUUUGUACAUGUUUAGCUACAAUCGGGAGACCAAUUUUUUGUCUUAUUCUUAAAAGGCUAAUUCAAAAAAUACCCCUAAAAUAUGCUCAUUUUUUCAAAUAGAUAACUUUUUGGUCAAUUUGAGUACUCAAAUUAUUGUGUCGUUUCCCAUUUAACCCCAUAACUUAACAUUGUUUGUCCAAAAACAAUUUUCCGAAUCAGAAUCUCACAUGUCUCUCACUAGUAAACUGUAUUUAAAAAAAUUGGGGAAAUUAAAAUUAAUUUUUAAUUAAAUUUAAUAUAAUAAUUAAUAGAAUCAUUUUAGCAGUCUUACUGUAACUCCUUAUCCUCGGCCCAAUCAACAAGUUCAGGUACUGAAUGAUACAAAGACCCAAAUAACUCAAUGGUAUUUUUUAUUUGAAUUUUUUUUUACAUUUUUAAACGUUCAAAUUACACAUUAAAGUAUAUUAAGAAACAUAUCUUUUAAAAGUUUCUAACUCAAAAACUUAUCAAUGUUUACAAUUCUAAAUUUAAACUUUAUAUUCUUCACUUCGACUUAAUCCUUGAGGCGUGACCUAGGAGUCCCUCUAUACGCAUAUACGACUUCCAUGUUAAACCCUCAGAAUUGAUGGCACCUGGCUUGGUCCCUACACUUGGUGUCCUAGUCAUAACACUUGUCCUGCAAACAAGCAGUAAGCACGUAAGUUCAAAUGAACUUAGUGAUAUUUUGCAAAACAACGCAAUAGCAAAAUUCUGAAUUUUUAAGAGACAAAAUUUUAAGCAGAGAUUUCAACUCCCUGUCUAUUCUUGUCCAUUCUUGGAUUUCUUUGGUGUGGUCAACACCUUAUCCUUUUUGUAACACCCCAAACGCGGCCUAGACGUUAUGACCGAAUCCGAAAAUGUCACAAAGAAUGAGUUUGAAAACAAGUUGAUUCAUAACCUAAUCAAUAAUAAAACUCACAUUUCUUUCAUGUUUAUUACAGAAAACAUUAUCUUAACAGUUCAUUUGUCAAAACACUUAUUACAACGAAAGUUAAACAAAACCAGAACAUUUUAGAAAUUCGUACCGUAUUUUUAGAAAACCUCUUUUUGGGCAUGAAAUCCGUUUCCAUAAAAUACUUUAUCAAGCAUGUGACAUAUCAAGCAUAUCAAACCAAAAUAAUUUAAAGUCCCAAAACAAUCCAAAGAGUCCCAAACAUACAACUCUCUAAAUUAAAUCUCAAAUUAUUAAAUACACCAUAAAUUAAUAGUUUUAAACAGUUUAACGGAAGAGUGGUCACCGUCGAGGCCCCUGCUGCACCGAUCUGCCUAAGACUGUGGAUUACCUAGCAGUACAGAAAAACAGAUCUGAGUAUACAUAAACUUAAUGUGUAACCCAACAGAAUUAAGCAAGUAAACAUACCGAAACAUUACGGACAAUUAGAUACAAAAUUGGCUUAUGCCCAUCCCAAAUACAGUUACAUAAAUAGAGGUUCAGAUCAAAUAACAGGUUCCAAAUAUGCAAAGUCCUACCCCCAUCCUCUACACACCAACUCCGACCAUCCCAUCAUACCAUGUGGGGUUAAAAACACCCAUCCAUCCUUACACACCACAUUGUGCUGUUAUGACACGUAUCAGAUAUAGUGCAGCUAAGCUACCAGAUAAUAAGCGAUGAUCGCCAUACAGAACACUUCCUCCAUCAAUACAAAACCCACCCCGCAAACAUAUACAGAACAGAUACAAAAUACAUACUAGGCAUGCUCAACAAACUAUGUACAUAUAUCAGAAUAAACAGAUAUGCAUGGCAUAAUCAAUCUCAGAACAUAUUAUAAGAACAUAUUAUAGUAAUAUAAUCGUACGUUGAGUAUGUUUGUACUCAGUGGUAUUACCAUAAUUCAAAUUAUAAAUGCUAUAAUAAAUAAUAGACAUCAAACAUGUAACAAUAUAACUCAUAUGUGUUAAUUAUGCUUUAAUUUCAUAUCUCGGCAAUAGUCUUUCAUUAAAUGGCAUCAUAUAUCAUCUAUAUUAUCUUUAAUCAAUUCAUGAACCUUUGGUUCAAGCUUUCAAUCUCAUAUCUCUAUUUCAAUUCACAAUUCACAUUUCUUUACAUAAUUCCACUUUUUCACACUUUCUAUAGUUUAAUCGAUCAAAUUCAUUCGAUUUUCUCAUUUCAUUUACUCAACCCUAUUAACAUAACUCAGACUCAGAUAGAUAUAUGGAUCCUACGGUAGGCCUACAGUCAAUUGGGACGACCCGUGCGACCCUUGGAGAAAUUUUAGAAGUUUGGUCCGUGUGGCCCAAACGCCCAAUUAGCCUAGCCCGUGUCGCCCACAUGGCUUAGUCCAAAAAUCCACACGCCUGUAUGGCCAAUAUGGCCUGGCCCAAGAAUCCACACACCUAGAUUGGCCUAGCCCGUGUGGCCCAAACGGCCAUACUCGAGCCACUACACGGUCAUGUCUUGCGUACGACCAUACCUUCGUCGACCAUACGGUCGUGUUCUCACACCCGGCCUACCACACAAGUGACCACACGCCUAUGUAGCGUCGACAGUUAGCUUUUUUGACUUUUUUCGACGCUUGUUUUUUUUGCGUUUUCGGUACACACUUGGUAUGAUUUAGAUGCUACUGCAAACACAAGCACUCCAUAACCUAAAAAUAGGUAUACUGACGCUCAGAAUCAGUCUUAAUACAAGGUUAAACUAAAACCCAAAAUCAACUAUAACUCAAAUCAAGCACUACCGCUUACCCCAACACUUCGGUCGAUUAACUACUAUCCCACAGGAGUAGAAUCACGAAUGUCUUGAUUCGUUGCUGCCCAAAACAAUAGUAACCCCAAUCAAUUCUUGGAAAAACACAAGUUACCAAAAGCAAAGCUUCACUUACCGGAACGUUCGACGAAAAUAGAAAUAACUAAAACAAGGGUAUGAUAACCAACAAACAGGAAUCGAAACCAAAAAGGAACAAAAUGAAGAAGGAAACAAUGAAGAAUAGGGUACCAUCGUCAGUUUUCUUAGGAGGAGGGAGAAAAUUUUUCAAAAAAAAAAUACCCCUUUCUGAUAACCCCCAAAUCCCAUAUUUUUCUCCCACUCUCAGUCUUUUAAUACAAUCGGAACUCUUUCAGUCAAACGAGCAAAAAUAAACUCUCUCACUUACGUAGGGAUUCGAACAUAGGACCUCCAACACAUCCACACCCUUACCACUUGAACCAGCAAGCUCAUUCUAAUAUGAAUUUGCAAGCAAUCUAAUAUAAGCCCACUGAAUAGAGACAAAGCUUCAUUCCAAAAAUGACCAAAAUUUGUCAAAGCUAAAGCUUGAACUUAAGACCUCUCACACCCACCCAGAACACUUAACCACUGAAGCAGACAGAUACUUGUGUCAAGUACUCGCAAAAACAUAAAUAAAAAGAUCAGAGCGUCACACUUUUUUCGCGAUUCAUCACUAACAGACUUAUUAUCUUUCUUGUACAUAAACUUGACCUUUAGGAAAUCAUCCUCUAUGGUACCAGCCUGAUUCUGCCUCACCUCACAUUCCUUUAUACUCUAAUGAAUAUACUCUUUCAGAAUCAAUCAUACACUUGGGAAAUAAGGUUCAUUGUCUACUACUGGCUGGCAUUCACCUAUGUUCUUAAAUUCAAAUCCUUACCCUAACCUAUUCAUCCCAUACUAGAUUAACCUUAAUAUUUUUCCACUUUAACGCUUUUUUCAGUCCAAGUCACCGUUCUGAACAUGAUGAUAAGCUAACUGAUUAGACGUUCCAUCAUCUUAGCGGACUCGUACUUUACAACUAGCCCUAAGUUGCUAGUCCACAUUGCUCCAAUCUUCUAGAAAUUUUAAAUGAACAAAUAGUUCCUCACUAGAGAUGUUCGAUAGGCUUUACUAGUCUGGUCGUUCAAGCCAUCAUUAACUCCAAGUAAACCUUAAGAGACUUACUCGUUCUUUGCUAACCUUUACCUACGGACCCUUAGACUUAGGUUCCGCUUGAUCAUUUCACUAUCACCCCCACUUUCAAUUUCCUCGCUAAAAUUUUUGGACUCAUACCUCUAUAUAGUUAUCCCUCAUCAGCUGCUUAAUUGUAUUCUCAUAUUUUUCUACUAGCCCUUUUUAUCUUCAAAAUUUGAUGGAUCAUUGGGAUAUUCUGUUUACCUGCAUUUUCAAACGUGUCGUACUCAUCCUUUCAUGUUACUCUCCAAGUAGGUUAUACUUCGAUCUCUUUACAUUGUCCUGUCAUAUUCCCAACCUGAACCCAUGUUUAUCAUCCUUGCAGACUAUAUUGGUUGCUAUAGCUGAGCUAUGGUCUUACACCUUAUAACCCCAUGUUUAAUGUCUUGGCAGACUCUAUUGGUUGCCAUAGCCGAGCUAUGGUCUUACACCUUAUAACCCUAUGUUUAAUGUCUUGGCGGACUCUAUUGGUUGCCAUAGUCGAGCUAUGAUCUUACACAUUGUAACCCUAUAUUUAUUAUCCUGGCAGAUUCUAUUGGUUGUCAUAGCCGAGCUAUAGUCUUACACAUUAAACCUCUUUUAAGGUGUCGCCUCAUAGGACUUUACCUUAAAGGGAACAUCCAGCCAUCGAUAUCGCAACAACAACCAUUCAAUGUCGCGACAUCCAACUUCAAACCAAGAAGAGUUGCAUUUGAAGUCCAAUGUCGUGACAACAGCUAUAGGAUGUUGCAACACUGGUUUGAUGAGGCCUAUCCAGCAACCAAGUGUGUUUUUGUUUAACAGAUAUUAAUUGACCUAAUUUGGUCAUCUAACAACAACACUAUAAAUAUUAGUACUUAAAACUCAAUUAGAAGAGUUUCAAGGAACUAUUGCAAUUUUAUUCUACUUAGAUUUAGGGUUUUUAAUUUAGUUUUUUUGUUCAAACAUUUAUUUGUUUCAAUUCAAGUUUAAGUUUUAUUCUUUUAGCAAUUUACUUUAUUAUUCUAGUUUCUGCUUCAAUCACAUUGUAAUCAACAUCCAUUCAAGAGGGGUUGAAAAUCAAAGUUUCAACAAUUAUCUACGGAUUUAGAUUUCUCUUUGCCCUUCUUUUGUUUUACAUUUGAUUUGAAUGUUUAAAAUUUGAUUAGGGAAAAUUACAUCUAGCAUGGCCAUGAAAUAAUAACCCUAAAAAGAUUAAUGAGUAGAAGUGGGAUUGGUUGACUAAAGAUUUAGGGUUUACCACAAAUUAGUUGACAUAGGUUAAGCUAUAUUAAACUUAGGAUUGACAACCCUAGGAAGUAACUUAGGUAGAUGAGGUCGAAAGGAUAGUCUACUUAGCACCACUUAAUAUAACAGCCUGGUUUUAGCUAAAUUAGAACAGUGGUUUCAGAACCACAAAUCCGAGGUUGUAAAAUUAUUUUAAUAUUAUUUUUUGUGAUUAUAGCAUGUAAGAAAAUUUCGUAAGCUAAUUUUAUCGUUUAAUAGCUUAAUUUGAGAAAAAAAAGACUAAAUCACGUAAAAUGCAAAAGUUGCAUUCCAUAUGAUAAAAGUGUCUAUUUGUCAUGGACUUAUUAAAUGGGAGGUCCUUAUGUUGUAAAUAGACCAUUGAUAAUGGAAUUUUACAUAAAUGACCAGUCAAUGAAUGAUUUUAAAUGGUUUUAAAUAAGGUUAAAAUGGUAAUUAGAUUAUUAAUGAUAUAUUAAAAAAACAAGUGAAAUUAUCAUCAUUUUAGUUCAUCCUAGUCGAAAAUAAUAAGAAGAAAUCCAUUUAGGGUUUGUGAUAUUCGACACACAUUUGGCUUGAUUGAGGUAUGUAUUUUGCUCAAUUUUUUAUGAUUUUUACGUUUUUCUGAUCAUUGCUUUGAGUACUAGCUAGCUAGUACCCUAAUUUCUGAAUUUGUUGACGAAUUUGUGAGUUUUCAUUGAUGAAUGCUUGAGAUUUUGAAUGAUUUUUGAUGAAUUUUGAAAGCUUGAUGAUAGAUAUUAAAGUUUUGUUAAGUGAUUUUUUGACAAAAAUGUCAAAUAAGGAUUAAAUUGUGAAAUUGGCAAAUUCAAGGGUGAAAUGUGAAAUAAAUGAAAGUUUUGGGCUGCUAGGGACCUAUAUAAAAUUUGGCUAGGCUUAGGUUUAAAUAAAUUUCAUGAAAUUUGUGUAUUUUUGAAAUAGGGACUAAAUUGAAUAAAUGUGGAACUUUAAGGACUAAAGUGUAAAAAUACCCAAAUAUGUGUUUGUGGAUUAAAUUGAAAUUAUUGAUGAAUAAAAGAGUUAAUUUUGAAUUUAUAUAGAUCGAGAAAGAAAUGAAUCGGAUUUAGAUCGGGGAAAAUUGAAGGUUAUCGAGUAUUUGAUCUGAUUCGUCAAUUUCGAGUACGAGGUCAGUUCGUAUGUGUAAUUUCAUUUACAAAUGCAUGCUAAAUACUUUGAUAUCGCAUAAACUGUGAUUAUAAGAUUUUGGAUAAUGUUUAAAUUGUGAUUACGACACUACGGAGGUGUUUGAUGAUGAAAUCGACAAGUGAAACUUCCCGGUUGAACCUUAGGAAUAGUUAGGAUGUAAAUGACAUGUUAUUAGAUUAAUGUAUUGGCUUCGGGCCAUGAUAUCGACACUUCAGGUGCGAAUAAUACCUUGAUUUGGCUACGGGCAAUGGUAUAGGUAUUCAAAAAGGAGUUACUUUGAUUUGGCUAUGGACCAUGGUAUAGGUACUCUGGGAUAAGUUACCUUGAUUUGGCUUCGGGUCAUGGUAUAGGUACUUAUCAAUUGUGGUCUUUGAAUAUCCGAUUUUUUAUUUCGAAAGGUUCAACGGGUAAAGAAUGACGUAGUUGAGAAAUAGGUUAGUACGAGAUGGUAUAGGUACGUAUGGAACCUAUUCGAGUAUUAUAUUGAGAAAGUUCAAUGAGAUUAUAUUGGAUCAUGUUUUUAGACACGAGAAAGGUUUGUAGUUAAUGUGAUCUUGAUUUGAUAAUGUGAAAUUGGUUGAAUUACAUUUACUUGAUGAAUUGAGUUAAUCAUUACGAGCUUACUAAGCUAUGAAGCUUACUGUGUGUUAUUUGUCAAUGAUUUAUAUAUUAUCGAAGCUAGUUCAGACUCGGGGAUAGUCAGGAAACGUCAUCACACUAUUGAUUAACUCGGUGGUAUUUUGAAGCUUUGUAUAUAUGGUAUAUGGCAUGUAUAGGCUAGUGUCAUUUUAGUAUGUUUUGAGUCAUGAUAUUAGCCAUUAGAUUUGGCUUGUAAAUGUGGUAUGUAUAGCUAUUUAAGUUGGCUUGAAUUAUAUGUUUGGUAAGUGUUAUAUGUGAUGUAUAUAAUGCUUUAUAUGUUGGUUUGAUUUGAGAUGAUGAUAUGGUGUGUUAUAUGAUUUGAAUUAGAGGAUAAGUUGAUGAGUAAAUGCAACUAUAAGUUAUGCAAGAUUUUUGAUGAUUUUGGCAUAUUUAUUUGGUAUGCUUCGGUUGUGGAAUUGAGUAAUGAUUUGGAUGGAAUUUUAAAUGGCAUAGAAUGUACAUGAAAUAACAUGUUUUGGCUACCUAUAUAUGUGAUAAAAUGAUACCAUUUUGAUGGCUAGGUGAGCAUGAGAAAAGGGUGGCAUUUGGCUUUGCAAAUGGCCUAUUUUUGUCCAUAUGGGCAGAGACACGGGCGUGUGUCUUAGCCGUGUGCAACACACGGUCAUGUUACACGGCCGAGUGUCCUCUAGGGAACCUUUCAAAUUAAAGUCAGUAUACCCUACAGUUUUGACACGACCUAGACACACGGGUGUGUCUAUUGGCCGUGUGUGGCACAGGGGCUGGCACACGGGCAUGUGGUCGGCCAUGUGACCCAAGUCAGUAACCCCCUUUAGAUAUCAUAGGCUUGGCACAUGGGCGUGUCCUCGGCCGUGUGAUGCAAGUCAGUAUGUAUGCCCUGUUUUCACACGGCCUAUGACACGGGCGUGUCUGGUAGCCAUGUGAGGUACACGGCCUGUUCACACGGGCGUGUGACCCUUAAAUGUUAGAAAAUUUUAUAAGUUUCUCAAAGUUUGCAUAUGUUAUCGGUUUAGUCCUGAACGACUUCUAAGCAUGUUUUAAGGUCUUGUAGGACCUUAUAAAGGACAAAAAGAUUGAGAUGAAUGGAUUUUAAUUAUGAUUGCACAAAUGUAUGAUUUAUGUUGUGAUUGAUCAGUAAUGCCUCGUAACCCUAUUCUGGCGACGGAUACAGGUUAGGGGUGUUACACUUAAUCUAUCCCAAUUUAAGCUAUCAGGUCCAAAGAUAAGUAGGUUAAAUUGAUCAAUUAAUUUAGUUAUAGACAGAAAGGUAGGUUAAUUGUUAGCUAAUUUAUAAAAACAUGAAUUUGAAGUUAAUCAUGAACAUGGAUGCGAAUUAAUUUCCUGCUUGCAUAAUUUCAUUGGAAUUCGAUUAUUUAUUUUAGUAUUUAUUUUUAUGUUAUUCUAGAUCAUCUUCUUAUUGUUUAUUGUUUACUUUGUUGUAAUAUAAUUAGUAAGUAGUGUUUAGAACUAGUAGUGUGAUUAUUUGCAAUUUAGUUUAGGUAAGCCUCCCUUGAAUACAAUCUUCGGAAUACUUUCUAAUGUUCUAUUGUAACAUUUUUAACCAUAUUACAAUUAUAUUCACACAUUCAUAUUGUAUAUUCCUAAGCCACGACGCACGCACGUCGGGGUACUGUCAAUUGUAUGUUGAAAAAUAUGUUUAGAUAGUUAGCUUUUUUUUAUAAAUUCAAAAUUGAAAAUUAUUUUGUAAAUAUAUUUUUAGGGGGAUAAAUCUCAAAACUAUAUAUGAAGUUUGAUUCAAUGUGCAAUUGAAUAUAUCAAUUUCGAUUUGGUGCAAUUAUACACAUGAAACUUUAAAUUUAAUUGUGAUUUAAAUUUAUAUAUAUAUAGAUAGACUAUGAUUAUUAUUUGGUAUGAUUCUUGAAAAUUAUGAUCAUUAUAUAAUGUUUUACUCUGAAUCAUGCUUGGUCUUUUUUGUUUUUUUUUAUAUAUUGAGUUUGAUGAUGGGAUUUAUAUGAUUUAAAUUCGUGUUAUAUAAAUAUCUGAUAAAAACUUUAACUAUUGUUUCAUAUAUGUUAAAUAAAAAAAUUGCAAACCUAAAAUAGUAACCGAUUCGAAACCUAAAAUCAUGUGAAAAAAAAUUACUGCUGCCUGUAGGGGUGAGCAAAAUCCAAUUCGAUUUGAAAAACUCGAUAAAAAAUUUAAAUUUUGAAUUAAAUAAUUCGAGUUAUUUGAGUUAAUCAAGUUAUUCGGAUCAACUCGAAUAAAAAAUUAAAUUUUUUGGUUUAACUCAAAUAUGAAUUACAGAAUUCGAGUUAUUCGAAAAUCCGAAUAAGAAAGGGCAAAACUACGUCUUUUUGAUAAAUGUUUACCUUUUCUAAAGUUAAAAGUCAAAACUAUUAAAUUAAAAGGUAAAAUUUCGAUGUUUUGAUAAAUAUUUACUUAUUAAGUUAAAAGGUAAAACAAUUAUAUUGCUUAUGUAGUUAAAUAAUCUUGUAUUUUGUCUACUAGUUAAAUAAUUGGUUCAUAUAAACGUAACAUUGAGUAUAAAUAAUAUGAUUCGUUAACUUGACUCGACUUAACUCGAAAUUUUUUCACUCGAUUCGGUUCGAUUCGAAAAAAAUUCAAAUUGAGUUUGGUUGCUAAAAUAUGAUUCGUCAACUCAACUAACUUGAAUUUUUUUGACUCGAUUCGACUCUACUCGACUCUAUCGAAUACUCAUCCCUAGCUACCUACACAUCAUACCCAUUACAAUUUUGUUGAAAGCCUAAAAUUAUGCUUUACUCACAGUAAAAAGGGAAUGUAAUUUGCUUUAGAAUUAAAAAAUAUAUUAUUUAAUUUUUUAUUUAAUUUUUUUAUCUCUUUUAAUUUUUAAAUUUGUAUUAUUUAUUAAAUCACUUUAAAAUAGAUGAAAAAAAUUAAGCGUAUGUUAACUUUGAUGAUGUAACAUACACGCGGAGUGCCACAUGUAUAUCGUAUUGGCAAUUAAUUAAUUUUUUAAAAUUUAAAAACUUCAAAAAAUUAUGAAAAUAUGUUUUAAAAAUUAAAAAUUAUUAAAAAGUAUAAAAUUUAUAAAUAUAUUUUUAAUAUUUUAAAUUUAAAAAUUAAUUAAUUGCUAAUGGUUAUACAUGUAAACUGCAACGUGGAUGCGAUGUAAGCAAAGUUAAUAAACAUUAACUUUUUUUCAUCUAUUUUGGGGUGAUUUAAUACACAAUGCAAGUUUAAGAGCUAAAAUAAUUUUUUUUUAUAAAGUUGAAGGAUAGAAUUAAGUGAUUGUAAAAAAAUAUUUUUUCGAACAUUAAUCUCAUUGUAGGCUUUUGUCAUAUCUGCUCUUUCUGAUACAAUCUCUAGAACUAUCCAUAGCCCUUCCCCAACCCUUAAAUAAGAGGAAAAUGCGUUUCAGCAUAUUAAACUCACGUUCUCAUACACUAGUAAUAAUGUCGAUAUUAAUCGAGUUAAGACUCAAUCAGCUAAAUAAAUAUUUUUGAACUUAUCUAAAAUAAUAAAAAAUAAUAAUGACGUCCUUUAGAAUCAAGGACAAGGAAAGAAGCUAGACUAAUAGUUGAUUUGGAUGCGUAGUGGAGUCAGUUUGAGCGGGUCGUGAUGUCCUCUUGAAUAAGCAAAAGAAUCAUAUUUGGCAUCGUUCUCAACCAUAAACUUUAUUUUACCUAAGCUACAACUUUAUUUGGUUACAAAACUAAAUGACAUUGGGUUGAAGAGUCAAAAGAACAUCCUAAUGGGAAGGAAAAGAUGAAACACCAAGAAGUUGCCUUGUAACAAAUAAGACCAACCAGAUAAGAUCAAAAAGCACAAUUUGUUUACUUCUCUUUUCAGAACAAAUUACGACUGAAGAGCCAGAAAACUUCCGUCCCUCAAUGAAACAACCUAAUCAUAUUCAUACCCAAACCCACCCCAUAAGGAGCAUAAUAAAACCACUACAAACAUUCGUGAGCAGCUAAUAUGGAAAUGGUUGUAUUUAUUUAUACUUUUAAAAUAAUAUGAAGAAUUUUAUAUAUAAUAUUCUUUUACAUGAUCAUCAUUUCAGCACUUCAUAUUUAUAUUCGUAAAUCAUAAUAGAGAGAAUACAAGCUAAAAGAAGCAAAUGAAAUAUGUUUGGCCAGCAGAGAAUACCAGUGCAUCGAUGAUCAAAGUCCUCUAGCCAACAUUUUCUCAUAAUUUUCAAUGGACUCAAGCCUCUGGAGCAGAAGCUGGUGCCUGAAUUUCUGGAUGAAGGCCUCCGCACUUUCGUUUAUGUCGACGGAUGGCUUUUUCUCCAGCUUAUUAGUGGCAGCACCAGCAGCUGACUUUUUCUCUGUCACGUUGGACCUGACGCCUCUAUUAUCUUUCAAAUGAUCACCAUUAACAUUAGGGUCUGCAAUUUUGGAACUGUGGUAGGGAUGAGGCAUGGAGCUCUUCUUCAUUGUAAUCUUCAAGUUGCUUUUUUUUUUUUUGCUUGAUGAAGAGGGUGAUGGUAUGCCAUGCUCAGAGGUUACCACCCCGUAUUUAAAGCCAAAAAGUCAAAUAAAAGACGAUUUAUUUUUAUUAGGCCGAGAUUCCAUCUUACAUUAUUUUUGAUGCAUGGGCACGCCAUUUUAGAAUUUUCAAAACUUUUUUUAAUAUAUAUAUGCUAAUUAAGCAGUAAGAAGAUAUACAGUGGAUUGGAUUGGGUAAGAUUAACCUAAUUUUAUUUUUAUUUAUCCAAAUUUUAAUUUUAGGAAACCCGUUUUAUAAUUAAAUUUAAAUAUUUUUUAUCAUUUCAAUAAAAUUUCAAUUUUAGUUUGAAUUAUCAAAAACACUAAACGUGAACCAAUUGGAUUCAUCGUACCCAUUUCAACACAUCUCGACGAAAAGUUUUGGAAAUUGUCACCUUGGUGAAGCCAUGCACUUUUAACAAAAAUCGAGGUUCAUAAAAUCUCAGAAUGCCCCGGUCGAGUGUAAAUUAUUGUUUAAUAAUAUAUUUUAUUUAAAUAUAAUUAGAAAAUAUAUAAAUAUUUAUAUAAAAAUAAUUUCCAAAUAUUUUAAUAUUUUAUAGAUAAUGAUACAAGCUCAAAAUAGAAAUGAAUUUGUUUUCGAAUGGAAUUUUUUUGAAAAAGUUGGAUACUGAGGGGAUGAAAUGGAUUUUUUUAAAUAAUAAGUAUGGAACAAUUAUGAUAAUGGCUCGUCUCAACUAAAUAAAAUUAUUGUAUAUUUAUAACAAUUAAAAAGAUAAAAAUGUAAUAAUGUAUUAUAAAAAAAAUUAUAUAUUUUUCGUUUAAAUAUUUUUAAAAGAAUUAUGUUUAAAUAUUUAAUUACUUGAUUUUAAAAUGCUAAAGAUAACUAAAAAAUAAAAAUUCAAGCUGGGGCGAAAAGAGAUGCAUCCAACAUUCAUGAAGAUUUAGAUUUUAGUUAAAAUAAUUAAGUUGAAAUUUUAAAAAUUUUGGUAUAUUAAGUCAAAAUCCUAUCAUAUUAAUAAUUUAUAUAAAAUAUAAAGAAUUAAAAAAAUAUUUAUAUUCAUAUUUAUUAUUUUACAAAAAUAAUGAAAUUUUAAUGUUUUUUAAUCGAAAUAGUGUAUAAUUAACUUGUAAUAUUAAUUUAUUCAUAUAUGUAAAAUAACCAAUGAAGUCUAUAAAUUAUAAAUUUUUUUAAAAAAAAAAGGAAGACUAAAUAAGAAGUGAACUUUUAUCAUGUCAGUCUCGUAGAUAAAUAAAAAGCAAAUUAUUGCGUAACAAAAUCUUAAUCAGAAAUGAAUGUUAUAUUAAUCAUGUUUAAAUAUAUAUUUCAUCCCGUGGGCAUUUGAAUGGAAAACACAACAUAUAAUUUACCCACACGCAUUCCAGCCGACACAUCAAAUUAAACUUACACCUUAAGAAUAUGAACAUGCUUUUCUAUACAUCAAUUACUGCACAUAUUUUAUUAUUGAAGUUUUUGGCAUCUAUGCCUAACUGCCUAAUCCUUUGCAUUGUAGAUUCAGUGUAUGCAAAAAUAAAUAAAAGAGGAAGAAUUGUAAGAUAUUAAAGUGGUAUGGGUUUAAAUUAUGAGAAAGGACAAGCUGUAAUCCAUAUGGGGUGCCCUAAACUCUAGGGUACCACUAUUUAAAUUGGUGUCGCCCAUGUUAGGAUUUUAAUUUUAUUCCAUAUAAUUUGCUCUUUGCCACUCACACCUAUCCACAAUCUAUCAUUUCUUUUAUUUAAAAUAUCAUUUUUAAUUUUAGAGAUAGGGAAAUAAUUGUGUCACCUUGCUGUAGUUGAUUGAAUUAUAGGUAAAGGGUCAUAUUUUAUCACUUCACAUUAAUUUUAAGUUUCAUCCCAACAUUUUUAUUAAAAUAUUAUAGGUGUCUAUAUUUUAUUUGUUAAUUUUUUUAUAUAAUUAUUUAAUUUUAUCUUUUUUGGUCAUCCAAUUAUCUUGAACAUUUUAAUAUUUUUAUUUUUAUAUUAACUCGUGAUAAUCAAAAAAAAUAGUUACUUUUUCAUAUUCAAUAAUAUCUACUAUAGUUUACACUUUACAAAAUUGUAUUUUGAAAAGAUUAUGUUUUCAAUUACUUGAAUGGUUUGGAAUAAAUUUAUUAUUAUUUGGAAAUAAAUUUGUUUAUCUUAAAAAUGAUAGAUCCCUACCUUAAGGAAUCAAUCAUUUUUAAUUUACUUGCACUUUUAUUGUUAGGCUUUGUUUAUUUAUUUAAUUUGCUUCUAUUUCUAGUAUGAUGAGAUGGAUUCCUAAAAAUAGGAGAUUAAACAUUUCCUUUGCUUUGUUUUAGCUUGGAAUCGAUUCCCUUGUUCAAGGAAAAUGUUUUUACUUAAAAGUCCUAAGAAAUUCUUUAAGUGAAAAUGGUUUACAUUACUCUUUCAAAAGCCUAAGCCAUAAGGUUAGAUUGAAUCGAAUUACAACUCUCUAUAUAUAUUUGGUGAAUUACAAUAACAGAGUAAAACCCAAACAAUCAACGUAACUAAUACGACCCAAACUCAAGUCACACCUGGAGCGUGAAUACCUUUAACCAUUAUGCCAUCACAUAGAAUUCUACAUAACCUCUUGUAUUUAUUGUUUACUUUUUUAAGUUAUUUCUCGUACUUAACUCUACAAACUCAAGUAAUUUUUAUUAUUAAUUUGAUAUGAAAUGGUAAUGGAAGGAGGUGGGUAGGAUGAAGUUGGAUUUGAUUAGAGCAGCUACAUCUACAUUAUAUACGAAUCAAACUUUUAGAGCAUUAAUUGACCAGAAACCCACUAGAAAUUUCAAGGGAUGACCUUAGCUUAUGAUUUAGACACAUAUACCUGUUUUACCGAAAGAAAAUGACAAAAUUGAAAGGGAGAUGCGUAUUAAAGAUUAAUACAAUUACAUUAAUAUUCUCAUCUUCCAAAUUAGGUCCAUCUUCUCAAGUCGCCCUAACUCCACUCAGAAAUAGAAACCCUAAAAGCAAAGACGAAAACCAAGUGGCAAACAGGACGUUUCUCCUUCAUUUUACUUAUAUUUGAUUCUAUUGAUUUCGAUUCCGCUCCUAUACACUAUAUAUUAAUGUGAUUUACUCUUCCAAUCAUUUUUAAUUAAAAAAGUCUCAUUCAAAAAUAAAUUAAGUAAUACAAGUUAAAUCUUCUAGAGAGUUCAGUCACUUUAUUUGAAUAGUUAGAAGGAUGGAAAUGUCUAGAAUGUACAAUGCUACACUUGCAUUUGCAAGGAAAAUGCUUACUUUAAUUAAUAUGAAUGAUUGAACUAGUUACAUCUUUGACAUAAUAUCAUUUCUCCUCGAUUCAUCAAACUUUUGUAAUUAAAAAAAAACUCAAUAAAGUUCGAGCUUGCGGCUUCCCUAAAAUAUAGUCUCGUUAAAGCAUUGAAUUACAUAAGAUGGAUUCAUAAAUUCCCAAAAGAUAUAUUAAAAAAAAUUAUUAACACUUGAAUCAGUCAUCACUUUGAUUUAACGAUUAUUCCGUCUAAUCUCCUUAAGUUGACUCUAAUAGCAUUUAUAAAUUGACAUCUACCACUCUACCCUCUAUACCUAAGAGAUAGAAAGAAUGAUGGUUGGGACUCAUGCCAUAUAGACCUUCCUUUAUAAGAAGACAUGAGACUAGAUACAUAGUUUACACUUUGCUCAUAUACAACCUUAGCACCUCCAAACCAUCACCCUUAGUGUCUUUUUGCACCACCUAUAAUAUGACUUAUCUUUGUUUUAACGACUCUCUUCACCUCUUACGAUGUAAACCACUAUCUUUGUAUUGUUUUACAUUUUGUAUAACUUAAUUGUUAUAACAAAAAUUAAUUUUUUUAUAAAUAUUUUACCAAUUUUAUAACAGUCUAUAAAUUUUUUUUCCCUUUUGAUUUUCAUAGAUAAUGAUCUAGGAUUCUAGAAAAUCACUUGCAAAUUUAAAUCAUGAAUAUUUUAUGCUUAUAAUAAUUUUUUUAAACAUAGAUUCAUUCUAUUUUGCCUUCAUACUGGCUAUAACAAUUAAGCUAUAUAAAGUGUAAGACAAUACAAGGGUGAUAGUUUACAUCGUAAAACGUGCCAAUAGUCACUAAAAUGAAGGUGGUUCGCACUGUAGAUGGUGUGGAAAGACAUUAGGGGUGAUGGUUUGGAGGUGUUGAAGUUGUAUCUGAAUAGAGUGUAGGCUAUGUAUUUAGUCUCAUGUUUUUUUGUGAGUGUCUUUGCCUUGGUGCUAAAAGUGGUAUUUAUAGAAAAAUGUCGGCUUGGUGUUGGUUCCAGCCAUAAAGCAUUCUAUCUCCUAAGAACAAAAGGUAGAGUGACGGAUGUCAACCUUGAGGCACUAUUGGAAUCAACUUAAAUGGACUAUACGGAGCAAUCAUCAUAUCCGAGAGAUGAUGGAUUGACGAGUGUUGACAUGAAAUCUUCUGGGCAUAUCUUUCGGAAUCAUGUAGGAUGCCUUAUGUGACACAACACUUUGGCAACGCUAUUCUCCUAGUGAGACUGUAAGGCUUAGCUUUGUUGAGUUUUCCUUUAAUCACAAGGUUUAGUGAUUCAACAAUGGGUGAUAUAGCGAGGGUAUAACAAUAUUAUUAUUAAGUCAUUAAUUGAGUUAGUCUAACAAGUUAAUGACAUAUCAACUUGACCAAAAAUUUUAUAAAUUAUUGUUUUAAAAAAUAAAUGUUACUAUAAGAAUAAUUUUCACUUUUUUAUAUUUUUAUAUAAAACCAAUAAAAACAAAAUAAAUCUAAAACAUCUCACGCAUUUUAAGACUUGAACAUAAGAUACCAAAGUCUCCAAAACAUCAACCUUUACCAUUUUAACCAAAGUCUAAUUGAAUUUUUACAUCAUUUUUCUAUAAAUAUAUUUUUAUACAAAUUUUCACUAAAAUCAUAGCAUUACAUGCUUUAUUUAUAAUAUUUAAAAUUCUUUUAUUAUAAUAUUCGAAUGAUCAAAAUAGUUUGAUAUAUGUAUUAAUUUUAAUUAUAAUAUUUAAAAAAUAUUUUUGUCCCCUCCUUAAUCUAGAGGAAAGAUAAUUUGAUGAAUAGGGAAAAUUAUCAGUAAAAAAAUUAAUAAAUUAAUUUGUGUACGUUAGAUCAAAGAAUAAAUUAGUCCUUCCAUUAAAAAUGCUAUCAAUUUCCAUCCCUAAGUGAUGACAUGAUUGAUAGAGCAAAUAAGCAACAAUACAUGGUGUCGAAACCCUUUUUUUUAAAAUUGAAAACAAAAUGGGGAUCGACGUUUUAAAACCAAAAAUGUGGAGUCGCCACCAAUAUUUUCCGUUUAGGUGUGAUUGGAUCACCAAGGAGCUUGGUCAUUUUAAUAAAACAUUUUGGUUUACUAAAACAACGAUUUUGGUCUACAAAAUUUGAGAAAACGGGUUCGGGAGUCGGUUACGUAUGAGGAAGGAUUAGCACCUUCAUUACCCCCAAAAUUGGUACCAAAAUGAUUAAAUAUUGUCUUUAUGUCUGAGAUUUAGGGUCUGUUUGAUAGGGGAAAAUAUUUUCUGGAAUUGGUUUUCCCCAUUUUCCAAUGUUUGAUUGGAGGAAAAUAUUUUCCUUUUGUAAAAUCAAUUCCGCAACACGGGUAAAAUCAUCUCAUCUUUCCGGAAAAUGUCUUACCCCUUAGAAAUCGGCAAGACAUUUUCCACAGCUCAUCUAUUCACCUUUGAAACCCUUUCCACAGCUCCUUUCUUCACCCUUUCCACAGCUCCUCUCUUCACCCUAUCGAUUGGAGCAUUAUUAUCUCUGCCUCAUCUUCUCUGCUAGUUCACCUCUUCUCUUUGGUUGCCUCGUUAGCGUGCUGGUUCACCUCUGCUGGUUUAUUGAAGGUAAAAUUGCAAGCUCUAGGUUAGGGGAUCUGUUGAUUUCUGCAAGUUUUAUUGCAAGUUUUUGUAGUAGAUGUGUUUUCUGCAAAUGGGUAGUUUUCUGCAAAUGUUUUUUGCAAAUCAGUUUCUGGGUUAACUGGAAAAUGGGUAAUUUGGAUACUUUCAUGGCCAAAUUAGUUAGCAAAGAGAUAGUUAUGUCUUCUCUUUCAAUUUUCGCUAUUAAGGAUGAUUCUUUUUAAGAGAAAGAAAAUGUUUGGCUUCUUCAUCUGUAACUUUAACACCUCAUCAUGCAUGCGUAUGCUAUAUAGCUUCUGCAAUCUUUGCUAAAUUUCAUCUGUAAGUUCUCUUGACCUCCAACUUGGUCGAUUUAGAACCGUCAGUUAUUGGCAAUUCUUGGACUUUACCGUUCUGUGUUGCUGUUGAGUUCUCCUGAUCUUUACUUUUGCCCCAUAGCACAGUGUAGAGUCCAAAGAUUAUGAUUACAGUUCGUAUUACGCUGGGAAAAAACAAAAGAAAUUUACAUGAGUGAAUAAUGCUAAAUGGAAAGGAAAAUUGAAAAAAAAUUACAGCCUUAACACCCUAAUUUCUUGUCCUACUUGUUUGCCAAAUAUAUAAGCCUAAAUUCCCAACAGAACAGAUGAAUGUUAUGGUCAGGGGAAUAAACAACUAUUGAUGCUUUCAUUAAAAAAAAUCAGUAGAGACAAUGAUUUGUUUUAUCUACUUGCUGAAUAAUUUACUUCAAUCUGAAACAUUUUAUUCGAUUAUAGUCAAACUAGAAUGUUCCAUAUUGUUUCAAAUUGGUAUUCAAGACUUGUUCUGUUGUUCCUGUUGCUUGAAAAAGAUUAGUGACAAAUAGCUGAAGGAGUGUGGUUUUCAGACUUUAAAGGAGUGUAGUCUCUUAACGAUGCUUUAGCCAUUUAUAGGAAGCUAUCUUUUGCUGAAUGCUUAAUUUUGGUGCUUUACUUCUUGGUAAUGGUCUCAUGAUUCAUGAAUGCUUCAAGCCAUUUUCAUGGUUAAUUUUGCACGAAACCCAUCUUUUAUCUUUUAUCAAAUCUAGUCUUUCACUUCAUAAAUUGUCCUAAUACGUAGGUUCAUUUUAUUGUAGCAUCUUGUGAAAACAUGAUAAGUGGAAAGGGUAUGAGGCCUGGAGAUAUUGUCACAGCUUCAAAUGGAAAGACAAUUGAGGUAUAGUUUGUUCUAUUCUAGCUAAAAAAAUAAUAAUAAAAACAAAUUUGAGGUAUACAUGAAAAAUAUAUGGUGUUGUGACAUUCAUAGUUGGGUUCUUUCUUCGUUGUCUUUAAUAAAUUACUUGUUGCUCACUAUGCGGAUUGCAGGUUAAUAACACUGAUGCAGAAGGUAGGCUUACACUAGCAGAUGCUUUGGUUUAUGCUUGCAACCAAGGUUUGAGAAGAUAAAGUCGAAAACUAGACAUCGUAAAUUUGUGAUUAGAGUUGUAAACUUGGUAGUUUCAAUUGCUUAUUUUGUAUAGAUAAUCAGAUUUCCAUUUUUCAAGUCUGGUUGACUUAUUUUGCAGAUAGUUGACCUGGCAACACUAACCGGGGCUUGUGUUGUUGCUCUUCGCCCCUCAAUUGCAGGUAUAUACUUAACAUAUGAAUUUUUAAACAUAGUUGGCACUUCAAUAUAACAAUUUUUUUUCUUUCCAUUGAAAGUGUUUUCCUUAUUCAUAGUUGGUUCGAAAGGCAAGCAAUCAUCGUUUCAUUGGUUGUUACUCAAUUAUUGAAACCAAAGCGGUGUGUGUGUACUGUCUCACCAUUGCCAAUUCAUUGGAACAUUUUCUUUAGGCGUCUUCACACCCAAUGAUGAUCUAGCAAAGGAGUUAUUUCAAGCAUCAGAGGCCAGUGGUGAGAAAUUUUGGAGGAUGCCAUUAGAGGAAAGCUAUUGGGAAUCAAUGAAAUCAGGAGUUGCUGAUAUGGUAAAUACCGGCGGUCGCCAAGGUGGUGCUAUCAAUGCAGCUUUGUUCUUGAAACAAGUAUGUCAAUUUUACUGUCUGUAUAUUUUUACACAUUUAAACGAUAAAUAUUGUAAUGUCCACGGUCGAACCAUGUUGCGGAACUUCAUUAUUGUUGGAACUAUUAUUUUGCAGUUUGUUGAUGAAAAAGUAAAAGUGGAUGCACGUUGACAUGGCUGGGCCUGUCUUGAAUGAUAAGAAGCAUGUGGCAACUAGAUUUGGCAUCUCAACUUUGGUGGAAUGGGUUCUGAAGAACUCUUCUUCUUAAAUGAAAGCUUGGAACAUGCUCUGUUGUGAUGGUGGCAGACCGAAAAAGGAGAACAACAUGUUCGAGGUUGUUGGGUUCUGUAAGAUCUGUCUGAUGAAUAAGAAGCUUUGUUGGAAUACUGCUCUGUUUUCUUUUGCUUUAUGUAGGUUGUUCCUACAAUGUUAUAACUACAUAAAGCUUUUUUACCAAUAAAUCUCUUUCCUUCUCAUGUUUUAUGGUGAUUGUGUUCUAACUAUAUUAUAUAUAUACAUAUAUCAGGAUAUUUGGGUAACUUAAAAAAAAAAAAGGGUUAAAACUUCUUUAGGUGUUUCAACUUGACAAUUAUUCUCAUAUUGGGGCUUAAACAUUUUUUUUAUCUACUAGUACUGGAUAUUUCCUUGAAAAUUUUAGAGUUUUAGCUUCAACGUGGGAAUAAUUAUCAAAUUUAAGUCUUAAUAUGGAACAAUUGUCAAAUUUAGGGACUAAGUUGAACAAAAAGAAUUUAAGCUUUAAUACGAGAAUAAUUACUAAAUUCAACACUUAAAUAGGGAUUUAACCAAAAAAAUAAAAGGCUAAUUUAUCCUACAAAGCACUUUAACUCAAAUGAAUUUAUUUCUACUAGGUUCAUAACAAUUUAGUAGGAAGGAAGUAGAAAUAAAAAUAAGAAUUAAAGAUAGUUAAAAAUGUGAUUACUAGGAAUACUUAUAAUUAUGGGAAAAUGUUGCUAAAAAAAAUGUGAUUACUAGGAAUACUUAUAAUUAUGGGAAAAUGUUGCUAAAAUAUUAAGAAAGUUACAUUAAAACAAGUUACAUUAGUUUUUUUCAAUUUAUAACGAUUAAUAUUGUAGCUUAAUAAUUGAGUAUUAUUAUAAAUAAAUCGUUGCAAUAUAUGUAAAAACAAUUUAUUAUAUGUAAAAUAUAAAAAUUUAUUAAUAUAUAUUAAUAUAUGUAAAAACAACUUUUCCAUAAAAUAUUUUCAGGAAAUCUGUCAAACAGCAGAAAAUAUUUUACACAGAUUCAAUCAAACACCAGAAAAUAUUUUUUAGUAAAUCAUUUUACAGAAAAGUAAAACAUUUUCCAGAAAUCAUUUUACGGAAAACAUUUUACUGGCAAUCAAACGGACCCUUAAAAGAGUUUUUGUAAUGUGGUUCCUUUUAUUUGAAUAGCCCGAGUUGGUCGUCAAAAUUUCCUUGUUUCAGAGGAAUACAGCAUCACAUCCAGCACGAUAGAACACGAUCCUUUAUAUCCUUGAAAACACGAUAAAGUUCGACUUCCAAAAGUUUAUAUGUCGAAAAUCACAAAAGGAUACCCAAUUGUUUAGUCCAACAAAAAAAACCGAAACCCAGCACAGUAGGGCACGAUUCCUCGAAUUUUUAGACAUCGAACAUUGUCUUAUUUUAGAAUUUAGAGAACAUGAGUGAAAUUCUAAAAAGGUAUUUGAUUAUUUUGAACAAACAGAAAAUCGCAACCCAGCACGACAGGGCACGAUUCCCUGAAUUGCCAAACAUCGAACAUUACCUUCAUUUUGAAAAAUUUUUAAAGAUAUGAGUGAAAUUCCAAAGGAAUAUUCAAUUAUUUUGAACAAGCGGGAAAUUGCAACCCAGUACAAUAGGGCACGAUUUCCUGAAUUGCCAAACACCGAACAUUACCUUCGUUUUAAAGAAUUUUUAAAUGAAUAGUUAUUAAACUAGCUUAAAACGUAUUAAUUUUACUUGAAAUAAGAUGGAAUAAUUAAUUUUAAAGAGUUUGAAGUUAUAAAGCAAUAUUUCAUAAAUCAAAAGGAAAACAAUAAUCAUGGGAUGCUAUGCGCACAUAAGAUACAACGCCGAUUAACAAAAUGAUAAUCAAGUAUGACUAAUCUAAGACAAAUGUAAUCGAACUUCUAAACAGGAAUGGAGAGCAAUUGAUAUAACAAUAAAAUGAAUAAAUAAUAUACAGCGAUAACAUACAUGGCAUAAUAUAAAAUGAUCAAUACAAGAUGCACAAAACAAAAUGCAAAUCAAAAAAGCAAAAUGGUAUAAAAUGAGUUUAAAACAAUGAUAAAUACAUAAUAUAUAUUGUGUAAUGAAUUGAUGGAUUUAAAAAACUAGAGAUAUAUAUAAUCAUUUAAAAUGUGUAUUAUAGAAUGAAGAAUUUUAAAGUCAAAUAAUAUACAAGAUGUUAAAAACAUUUUAAAGAUACAUACAAUAAAGGAGAAUUUAAUAAUGUAUAAACAUGAAAGGAUAGCCAAAAUGCAUGAUAAAAUAGAAUUUUGGAAAAUAUACUAUAUACGUAAUGGAUUAAAAGCAUACACACACAUAUAUAUAUAAAUUUAAAAGCAAUUACAUGUGAAAAUGACAUAGAAAUGAUAAUAUGUAUAGGAUUAAAUUAAUUUUAUUAUAAAUUAUAUAAUAGAUUUAAGAACAUGCUUAUAUAUAUAAAGAAAACUAUAUGUAUAAAAUACAUAGAUUUAAUAAUAUAUAUAGAUCAAAUAUAGGUAUCAAUAAAUAUAUAUACAUAUAUAAUAAUAACUUAAAAGAUAUAUUACGUAGGGCUAUAUAAUAAAAUACAAGAAUAAAUUUAAGAAAUCAUAUGUAUAAAAUAAUAUAAGGUUAAUAAUAUAUAUGAAAUAAAAUUAACUUUAAUACAAAGUAUAUAUAUAUGUAAUGGGCCAAUUUAGCCCGGGCCCGUAUAAACACAAAACCAAAUUAUAAAGUCCAUUUACAUUAGCCCAUUAACAAAAUACCAGUCCAAUUACAAUUCAAAAUUCAAGGCCUAAGUGGCCCAAAAUUGAAACAGUUGCAGAAACCCUAGGUGAGUCGCAACAACCCCUUCAUGCAUCACUCCACAACAACGAGCCGUAUGCCACAGCUGGCCCCUUACACCCCGUACCUGCGAGUAAGCCAAAACCACAGCAGCAAAUGCAAACAAAAAGCAACAGCGGAGUAGUAGCAAAUAGGGAAUAAUGAAAAAUUGUAUUUUUUUUUCUUAUUUUCCUUCUUUUCGGCUAUAAAGGCCUAAAAAUUUCAUUGUAUUUUGGUUACAAUACACGCAUAAGAUAGAAAAAAAAGCAGAGCAAUCGAAUACAAAAAAAUCAAGGUGUUUCUUUUUGUUCCGUUUUCUCCAUUUCUUUUGCAAAUCCAGUUUCGAAUAUAACAUAUAUAUAGAUAUUCAAAGAAAACAUAAAGGGACUCUUUUUUAGAUAGGGGGUUUUAGUUUCAUUUGUUUUUUCAUUUUUUUGCUUAGAUAGAUAAAAUUUUUAGUAAAAAAGAGGAGAAAAUUUACCUGUGUUUUGGGGGUUUCAGACUGGUUCCAUGGCGGAGGCAGAAGCGGAGGCGUCGAACGCCGAUGAACGCCGAAAUCGGCUAAGACCGACACGCUAUGGGCAUCGUCUCCCCCUCUCCCUCUUCUCCAUUUCUUUUUCCCCUUUUCAAUCUGCAGAAACAUUCUAGGCUUCCCCUUUCCCCAUUUUUUUUUUUCUGUUGAAGCGUUUAGGCUUUUAAGAGGUUUUGUCCUCUUUUAAUUGGCAACACAAAGUGACGCCGUUUAUGGCUUGUAUUUGUAGCCUUGAAAUGGAGAGGGAUAAUUGCAUGCCAAGCCCUCCCCCAUCGCACAAGUUUUUGAUUGCACCUUGUUUAUUUCAUUUGUUUUUUAAUUUGGUCUUGUAAUUUGUGCUUAUUUCCAACUGGGUCCGUGCCUCAACAAGGAUCUAAAAUAUUUCCUGUUUUACUCCUUAUGCAUUUAUGCACGUUGCACUCUGGUCCCCAUGUUGGUUUCUUUAUUUUUAAAUUAUCUCUCUCAUUUUAAUUCCAUUUUAAUUCAGUCCUCUGUUCGUAUAACUUACCAUUUUAAAAUACAUUUAAUAUUUUUAUAUGUUUCGAUCCAUUUUGAUAAUUUAGUUUGUUUUUAUUUAUACAAUUAUUUUUGAAGUUUCUUUUAUCUUAUUAUUUUGACGUUUUGUGUAAUAUUUCUUCGAAUAUUCUAUAUAUAUUAGUACAUAUAUUAUUUUGAUUGAGGUUUUAAUUUGUAAAUGCUUGUUGUUCUAAAGUACUUAAUAUUUUAUAUAUAUGUGAGAUACCUUAAUAACUCUAUUUUAUGUUUUAUAAAAUCACCAUUUUGAAGUUCUUUUUAUAUCAUAUUAUUUAACAUUUUAUAUAGUAUUUUUAUUUAAAUGUUUUUAUGUACAUCGAUUCAUAUUAGACUCAUGUUUAAUUCCAUGCUAUUUUUAUAUAUAUUUACUUCUAAAUUUAUUUGUACACAUGUAUAUGUUUUUUUUUAAAAUCUGUUACAUAUGGAAAAUUUAAUUUUAGUCUCAUAUACAUUCUUAAUCUCAUGCAAUUUUUACAACUAAUUAUUUCCAAAUCUAUUUAUAAACAUAUAUUUUGUGAAUCUACUAUGUAUACCUCCUAAAAUCAUAUCUUAUUAUGUAUUCCUGCUAUACUUUCAUAUUUUAUAUAUUAUUAAAUUUUUCUUUAUCGAGUGUAUUUUAAUAAAUAUUUUUUAACACUUAUAUAUUAUUUGAUUUAAAAGUUUUCAUUCUAUAACGUAUAUUUUAGUGAAUAUAUAUAUCUUUAGUUUGUUUUACAAAAAGUUUAAAAUUCAACAAUUCAUUUAUAACAUAUUAUGCAUUCAUCCUUUUAAUUUUCUCUUAUACACAUUACCUCUUUUUUAAUUUUUAUUUUGUUUUGCAUAUUUUGCAUUUGAUCGUAUUGUAUUAGGCUAUGUAUCCUAUUUUCGUUUUGUAUUAUUAUUAUAUUGAUUAUUCUUCAUUCAUGCCUAAGAAAUUGAUAAUAUUUUUCUUAGAUUGGUUGAAUUUAAUUGUUCAUUUUGUUGGUUGAUUAAGUGAAUUAUAUUAUCUUCAUUCAUCUAUCAUAGUAUUUCAUACAUGCAUAUUAUCCCAUGUUUAUUUUUCCUUUUUGGUUUACAAAUAUCACUUAUUAAUUUCCAACUCUUCAAAACUAAUUAUUCCAUUUUAUUUCGAGUCAAAUUAAUGUGUCUUAAGCCGGUUUUACAAUUAUUCGUUUGAAAAUUUCUUAAAACGAAGGCAAUAUUUGAUGCUUGAAAAUUCGAGAAUCGUGCCCUAUCGUGCUGGGUUUCGAUUUCCCGUUUGUUCAAAAUAAUCGAAUAUUCCUUUAGAAUUUCACUCGUAUUUUUCUAAAUCCUAAAAUAAGGCAAUGUUCUGAUAUCUAGAAAUUCGAGGAGUCGUGCCUUACUGUGCUGGGUUUCGAUUUUCUCGUUGGACUAGAUAAUCGGGCAUCCUUUUACGGUUUUCAACAUAUAAAUUUUUGGAAGUCAAAAUUUAUCAUGUUUUCGAGGGCAUAAAGGAUCAUGUCCUAUCGUGCUAGAUGUAAUGCUAUAUUCCUCUCUAGCAAGAGAAUUUUGAUGACUAACUCGGGUUAUUCAAAUAUUAUCAAAAGGGAACCACAUUUCAAAAAACAUUUUUAAAUCUUAGACAUAAGGACAGUAUUUAAUCGAUUUGGUACCAAUUUUGGGCGUAGUGAGGGUGUUAAUCCUUCCUCAUACGUAACCGACUUCCGAACCCGUUUUCUCAAAAGUUCAUAGACCAAAAUCGUUGUUUUAAUAAACCAAAAUGUUUUAUUAAAAUAACCAAAUCCUUAGGUGAUUCGAUCACACCCAAAACAAAAAGAUCAGUGGCGACUCCACAUUUUUUAUUUUUUAAAGUUGAUCCCCGUUUUGCUUUUAAAUUUAAAAAUUGUUUCAACAAUAUAUAUAAUAGUGUAUAUAAAAAACAUUUACAUGAAGUAGUAUACAAAAUGUGAAAAUACAGUUACCAAAAUUACAAUAAAUAAGUGAUACAAAUAAUACGAUUAAUACAAAUAAAUAAACAUGAAUACAAUAAAAAUAACAUGAAAUGAAUCUAAAAAAACUUAAUUGAAAUCACAUUAAAAUAGAAAGGGUAAUUUACAAAUAAAUAAAGCUAUAAAACAGACUUAAGCAUUAAAGCUUGAUACGCACAAAUAUCCGAGGACUAAAAAGGAAAUUGUCCCCAAAUUCUAAAGCGCAGCGUUUAACCGUUGGUUAAAUUAAAACCAUGUUCGAAUCUUGGGAACAAAUUAAAGAAAAACGAAUGAGAGUAGAAGGAUUCAAUUGAAUAAUAGCGCGAACAGAAAGGACUUAGCGCGCAAUUAUCCCUCCCCGCCAAAGAUGCGCGGAUCUUAGGGCAGAGAAUCGAAGCGAGUCGGUUUAAUCAAUACGACGUCAUUUUGGAGCCAUUGAAUUAGGCUCAAAACGGCGUCGUUCUUAGUCCUUUAUAAAGGCCCAAAAUCAAGCCAUUCGGCCGACCCUAGCCUCAUUCCCUCUUUACCAGCAAACCUUAACCCCCUUUUAACCUCAUCACUAAUCCACCACCAAGAACGGCGACUAGUGGUUUUGGGGCUCCGACGAAUCGAUUUUCAGCUUGAAAAUCCCUUUUCGACUUUGAUUUGAACGAAGCAAAAGAGGACCGGUGGCCUAUUCGCAAGGUAAGAUCGCACCUCUCUUUUCUUUUAGUUUCAAAAUAUAAUGAUGAAGGAUUUGAGUAAAUAUCGGUAAAAAGAAAGAAAAAAAAGAGUAUAGAAAUCGAAAGCAGAAAUCACCUUCUCUGUUUUUUGAUUGCUUUCUAUUGUCUCUGUGCGUAUGUGUGUAAAAAAAAUACAAUCGAUUCCCCCUGGCUUAAUGUUCAAAAUAAAAUAAAAAAAUACAAUUUUUCUUUCUUUGCUUUCGUAUUGGCUAUUUUUGCUGCUGUUGUUUGUCUGUUUCUUCACAGGUACGGAGGCCCGUUGGCGCAGUAGUAUGUGGCGCUUGACAUGGGGCGUGACUGCUGGAGCGCUGGAGCGUACGGAGCCAGGCUUUGGGCGCACGGAGGCCGUACAUGGGGCGUUGGCUGCAACCCACCUAAGAAACCUAGGGUUUCUAAAACUGUUUUAACUUUUGGGCCUGCUGGGCCGUGUAUGUAACACCCCGUACCCGAGACCGUUGCUGGAGUCGAACACGAGGUAUUUACGGACUUAUUUCGUUGAUUUUCACAGUCCAUUUUAAAAAUUUUCAGACAAGCUGGCUAACUGUGUCACUGUUACCUUAAAAAUCAUAUCUUGAUUUCCAGAACUCGAAAACCAGUUUCGUAAAUUUUACCUGAAACUAGACUCAUAUAUCCAUCUACAAAUUUUUUUCUAGAAUUUUUGGUCAAGCCAAUUAGUACAGUUUAUUAGUUAAAGUCUCCCCUGUUUCAGGGUUCGACUGCUCUGACCUUCAUCCAUUACGACUUAUAAAUCUUCCUGUACAGGGCUUAAUUACUUAUGCCGUUUGUUUCUAACGAAAUUAGACUCAAAAAGGAAUCUAUACAUAUAUGGCAUGACCUCUAAUUAUCUCUGGUUAAUUUAUAGUGAAUUUCCAAAGUCAGAUCAGGGGAUCCGAAAUCGCUCUGGCCCUGUUCCACGAAAACUUAAAUAUCUCUUAAAAUACAACUCAUAUGAUCGUUUCGUUUCUUCCAUAUGAAAGUAGAUUCAUCAAGGUUAGAUUACAUAAUUUAUUCACUAUUUAAUUCCAUUCUUACUAUUUUUAGUGAUUUUUCAAAUCCGCACCACUGCUGCUGUCAGCAUCUGUUUUUAAGGUAAACUUUACCUAUUUCAUGGUUUUCCAUGAACCAACUAGAAUUUGUCAUACAAAGCACCAAAAUGAUCAUGAUUAACCAUUCCAAUGGCUAAUCGUUACCAAACAUUUCCAUACCUCUCAAUGAACAACAUACAAAACGAUUAUAAUGCUAUGCUCAAAGUGUAUAUAAGCCAUUUUCGCAUGGCUAUCCAAAUUUAUACAAAACCAAAGGGUACAUGACCAACAACAAAAAGGGUAGUCCUAUACAUGCCAUUUUCAGAGUUCAACCAAAAGUGUACCAAAAGGCUUUGAUAGUGUGGACGACUUCGACUUCGACAAUCCCGAGUCCGAUAGCUGACGAACCAAAAUCUAUAAAACAGAGAAUCAAAGAACGGAGUAAGCAUUUAAUGCUUAGUAAGUUUUGAAUAAUGAAAUUAGUUUCGGCUAAGGUAUAACAUUCAUAUGGCUAAAUGAAUAACUUCAUAUAUACACAUUUUCAUAAUCAUACUUACUUUACACUUCAACCAAUAUAUUCAUACACAAGGUAUCAAACCUAUCUAAAGGCCGAAAAUUCGUUUAUCAAUUUAACGGAUACUAUUUGAAACGAAUCGACUUUUCCGAUGCAUGUACGAAACAUACCUUAUCAUUUGGAUUUUAUGAGCGUAUUAAUUGAAAUUAUUUCAGCAAGAUCGCUCACUUCCAAACCCAAGCAUCUUCGGAAUUUAGCCGGAUAUAACCACUCGCACAAGGCCUUCGGGUCUUAGCCCGGAUAUGGUCACUAGCAUAAAUGCCUUCGGGACUUAGCCCGGAUAUAGUCGCUAGCACAAAUGCCUUCGGGUCUUAGCCCGGAUAUAGCAACUCGCACAAAUGCCUUCGGAUCUUAGUCCGGAUAUAGUCACUAGCAUAAAAGCCUUCGGGACUUAGCCCGAAUAUCAUUCGAAUAACCAUGCACAUAUAUCAAUAAAUCAUGACACAUCCAUAUUUCAUUUUCAUUACCAAAGCUCAAACACAAGACACUUAUCACACUUACUAAUUUCGGCUCAAUAGCCACAUACAAAGAGCACGAUUUUGAUUUGCUUUAUAACAUGAUCUCUAUACACAUUCGGCUACCCGUCAUAGGUAUAAACUAAUCACCUCAAUGUAUAAUUCAAGUAGAAUCAUUAUAUCACCGUUUACUUGUCAUACUUAUAAGUCAUGACCUAAUCGAAUCAUAAUCUAAGUUCCAUUACUCGAAAACUUACCUCGAAUGUUGUCGAACGAUUUCAACGUCUAUUCGAUCACCUUUUCCUUUCCUUUGUCGGAUUUAGUUCCCCUUUGCUCUUGAGCUUAAUUUAACAAAUAAAUUGAUUUAAUUAUUUUUCACUUGGGCAAUUCCAUUCCAUACAUGUAUGUCAUACAAUUUAAGUACAAUGACCUUGUUCAAUACUAUUUAAACAUCAUGCAUUAUCGAAUUUCAUCAACACCAUCUAACUUCAUAUAGAAACACAUAUCAUCCUAAGUCGGUACACAAGUCAAAUGCAUCAUUUAAAUUGUCAAAGUCCACCAUUUAGUCAUAUCUCUCUAUCAUAGUUUCUUCACUAAAACCGAAUUAGCAAGCCCAUAUAGUCUUUGGCCGAAUGUUAUAUAACCCAAGUCAUCAAGAGUUUUAUUAUUUAACACCUUAGAUAUCCAUAGCUAAAUAGGUUAUUUGUACAUACAUAUAUAUCGUCCAAAACCGAACAUAAGGAUUUUUUUCAUAUAUCUAACAUUAAUUGAAUUAUUCAAAACCUCACUAGCAAAAUAUCAUGUACUAUGUCGAACCAAAAAAAAGGUCAAACACCUAGCUUAUCCAUUCAAAACACUUAACUGGCCUUUGACCAAGACUUUAAACAAAGUCUAUGUUCGGCUAUCACACAUAUGGGCAUUAUUAGUUUAAAGUUUUAACAAGAUUAAUUUCUUUGAUCUUAACCUAAAUGACAACUCCCAUUCUCCUUAUUUCAACCGAAUUAUUCAUAACAUCAAGACUAAAAUUUUUGCACCUUGAACUUCAUACAUUUAUAAAAACUUUCAUAACUUAUUCGGCCUUAUCAAGAACCAUUUAACAUGCAAGGAAAAAUAAUCAUAGAGGAAGAAGUUAACAUUCUAAAUAGACUCAAUUUUUGACCGAAUGUACAAGGUGUCUCUAAGCUACUCAUCCAAAAAUCUUUACCCCAUUCUAGUCAUUCCCCCAUUGUUCCCUACAACAUGAAAAUAGCCCCUAAUUCCAACACUUAUUCAUUCGGCAUCUUGCUCAAAUCACCAUAGGAAAUCUCAACUUUCUUGACAUUACCAAGAGUGCAUUCACAAAUUAACUUAGCAUAACAUAAAGCCAAAUCAACAAAUUCAAAGCUUACCUCCUAAUAGCUAAAGAUGAAUGCCGAAUUGCUCUAGGUAAGUUUUCCCUUAUUUUUCCUCUUUGUUUCGGCUUGAGAGAGGUAGGAUAAGAAGAUGAACACCAUCCUCUUUCUUCUCUUUUAUUUAAUUAUUUCUAACAUGAAACAUUAACACACCAUGCUUAAAAUAUGCUAUGACCCAUAGCAUGGCCGGCCACUAGCUCAAAUUUUGGGCAAUUUGACAUGCAAACCCAUCAUUUUUAUAGCAUGCAUUAAUAGGCCACUUUACAUUUGCCUAGCACAUUUCUAAAUUUUCUCACAUAAGUCCUAUUUACUAAAAUUCACCUACAAUUAACAAAAUUCAUAUAUGAAAUUUUCACACAUGCAUAUAUACAUAUAAUCAGCAUCAAAUAUGACAGUUAAUUAUUUUUAUGACUCGGUUUUUUGGUCCCGAAACCACUUUCCGACUAGGGUCACAUUAGCGCUGUCACAGUGUAAUCUUGGGUCUAGGUUUAUUUGGGCUUGUAUUAGGUUUUGAAUUUGGGCUAUUAAUAUUUGAACCUUUUUAUUCUUUAUUUGGUCUUGAUGUGGACCCGGGAAAAUUGGCCCGUUUACACAUGGUGUGCCAACCUUGUGAUGUUUGGCAUUUUGAUAUGUUAGCAAAUAUUUAAAAAAUAAAAAAUCCUAAAAAUAAUUUUUUUUCCAAAUCCAUCAUAGAUGUGAUUUUUUAAAAUAAUUAUUAAAAUUAUUAAAAUAUAAAAAAUUAUUUAAGAAUUAUUAAGAAUUGCUAAAAAUUAUAAAAUAAUAAAAAUUAAUAAAAUAUUAGUGUCGAAACCAUUUUUUGGGGAAAAACGGGGAUCGACUUUUAAAACAAAGUGUAGAGUCACCACCAAUCUUUUUGUUUAGGUGUGAUUGGAUCACCUAAUAAAACAUUUUAUUCCCUUUAAAUCAAUUGUAAAUUUAAAAAUGGGUUCGGGAGUCGGUUACGUAUAAGGAAGGGUUAACACCCUCAUUAAGCCCAAAAAUUGGUACCAGAUUGAUUAAGUGAUGUCCUUAUGUCUAAGAUUUUAGAAUAAAAUUUAAGAUAUGGUUCCUUUUAAAACAUUUGAGUGGUUCAAGUUGGUCGUCAAAAUUCUCUCGUUUCAAAGGUAUUCAGCAUCACAUCCAGCACGAUAGGACAUGAUUCUUUAUACCUUUGAAAACAGGAUUGCUUUUUUACUUCCAAAAGCUCAUACGCCAAAAAUUACAAAAGGGUGUCCAAAUAUUUAGUCCAACGAAAAAUCGAAACCUAGCACGGUAGGGUAGGAUUUCCCGAAUUUCCAAAUAUUGAACAUUGCAUUAUUUUAAAAUCUUUAAAUAAAAAAAAUUAGAAAUUAGCUCAAAACACAUUUAUUUGUCUUAAAAUAAGAUGGAAUAAUUAAUUUUAAAGAGUUAGAAAUUAUAAAGCGACAUUUGUAAAUCAAAAGAAAAAUAAUAAACAUGGGAUAAUAUGCACACAUAAGAUACAAUACUUGAUGAAUGAAGAUAAUAUAACCAUAUUUAACCAACUAACAAAACAAACAAUUAAAUAUAAUUAAUCCCAAAAUAUAUCCCAAAUUCACAAGCAUGGAUGAGCAAAAUUGAUUUAAUAAUACAUAAAAAAUAAAUAAAUGGUGUGAUAAAUAUACAUGAAAUAAUAUAAAAACAAUUAAUACAUGAGGUACCAAACAACAUAAAACUAAUAAGAUACAAAACAACUUCUAAGAAUGAUGCAUUGAUGAGCAAAUAACACAUGCUAGAACUUGAAAUAAUUUUAAAAAAAAAAACUAUAAUUUUUUAAAAUAGAUGCUGCAAAGAAGAAGCCAUUUGAAUCAGAUAGUAUACCAAAUAUUAAAAAAUAAAACAUUUAUUUAAAGUUAGACAAGAUCUAUACAACAAAAGAUAAUUUAAAUACUACAUAAAAUAUGAAAGGAUAGCAAGGGUAUAAAAUAUGAAACUAAAUAUAUGUACAUGUAAAUAAAUUUUAGAAGAAAUUAUAUGUAAAAAUAACAUGGAAUUAGAAUAUGAAUUAUAAGAUUAAAUUAAUUUUAUCAUAAAUUAUAUAUGCAAUAGAUUUUUAAAACAUAAUUAUGUAUACAAAUAGAUUUUUAAAUAAAUUAUAUGUAUAAAAUAACAUAAGAUUAAUAAUAUAUAUAAGGUGAAAACUUGAUAUAAAUAAAUACAUAUACAAGAAUAAUAAUAUAAAACAGUGUUCGAAAUCAAUAAAAUACUUAAAAGAAAUAAAUUAUAUAUAGAGUUAAAAGAAUAUAUAUCAACAUAAAAAAAGAAAAAAAAGAAAAUAGAAUAUAUACGUAAAAUUCACCAUCAAUAUAAUAACAAUGUAUAAAAUUAUUUUAGAUCAAUAUCAAUUGAAUUUUUAAAGCAAAGGUAUAUUAACAUAACAAAACAAUUUCAAGAAGCAAUUAUACAAAUGAAAGAAAUAACAAAUUAAAGCAAUAUUUAGAAAAAACUAUGCUAAGAUAAAUUUAAAAAACAAAUACUAAAAUUUUGCAUAAAUACGAGUAAAUAUAUAAACUAAACUAAACUUGGUUGAAAUAAAAAUAAGAUUAAAAGGACAAUUUAUAAACAAAAGAAAAAAAAUCGAUUAAAAUGAAACAUGUACCAAUGAUCAGGGACCUAAAACAUAAAUAUCUCAAGCUUCGAAAUGUAUCAUUUAAACAAGGACUAAAUUGAAACAAAGCGCAAAUUUAGAGGAGAAUGCAAAAACAAAUAAAACAGAAUUAAGGCUAAACUAAAGAUCAAUGCAGGAGGGGAGGGACUCGUUGCACAAAUAACCCUCGACGACCAAAACGCGCGAAUCUGUCUGCGUCUGGGUCGGGUCCUUGGGUCAUGGUUCCCAAACAGUGCCAUUUUGAGGCCAUUGAAGUUGGCCUAAAACGACGCCGUUUUUGCUCCUUUAUAAAGGCUAAAAUCUAGCCUAAGUCGGCUGAACUAAACCCUAGCCCCUUUUGACUCCCCUAAUUCGUCUCCUUGGCCGAUCCCUACAUGCGAACGCCCUUACAUCACUAUAAGUAGUGAUCGGCGACGCGUAGAGGUAAAUCCCAUUGUCACUUCGAUUGCAGCGAAGAAGACGGGCUCCGAUCGCUAAGGUAAAUAUUUCCACUCCCUUCCCUUUGGAUUCAUAUCAAAGCAAAAGAAAAAAGAAUCAAAAUGAAAGAGAAAAAAAAAUGGAAAUCACCUUUUCAAAAUUGCUUUCGAAAUUUUUUUGUAUUCAAUAUCCGUAGAAAAAUUUACACUCAUUCUCUGGCCUUUUAUAGCCGAAAAAGAAAUAAAAUGAAAAUUACAGCCACUAUUUUUCUUCUCUAUUUUCUGCUAUUUUUACUGUUUGUUGUUGGUUAUUUGUUGUGUUCGCUUCUUCUCGCAGGUUCUGCUGAUGUGGAAAUAUAAGGAGGCCUCACGAGGGCCGCACCUGGAGUGUGCGGAGGCUGCGUACGUGGCCAUGACACGCUGGAAGUGCUGCGGCACCAAGGAAACCCUAGGUUUCUAUUUGGCUGAUCCCGAGUCUAAGUUUUGGGCCAUUGGACCUAUUUUAUUUUGGGCUGUAAUUUGCUUGUAAGUGGGCUAGAUAAUUGGGUUUGGUUUAAUUUAGGUUUGGGCUUAUUUGGGUUAUAAGUGAUUUGUAAAUGGACUUUGAUGAUGAACUUUUAUUAGUUUUUAUUUUAAUUUAUUUUUUGUUUUUUUAGUUUCUGGUUUUUUUGGAUUUUAACGGGCCCAGGCGAAAUGGGCCUAUUACAAUUAGAAUUGCAAAUUAAUUAUCAUCCUCGAGCAGGGGUGAAGCCAGAACAAAUUUUUAGGGGCAAAUGAGAUUUUAAAUUUUUAUAGUCUAUAUCUUUAUAAUUUUUAAAGGAUUAAAUCGAAUUUUUAUAAUUUUAGGAGGGUCAAAGUGCAAUUUUACCUUUACUAGUUUAAAAUUUUUUAAAAAUUUAAUGGCCUAAAUAACAAUUUUACAUUAUAAGGGGGGUCGGGCACCUGCCAACCCCUAAAUCUGCCUCUAUUCUCGAGUUACAAUAUAUUUAAAUACUUAAUAAAUAUUAUAAGGAAUUAUUAUAAAUAUAAAGAAAUUGAAAUGACAAAUAACUAGAAAAAUAAUGUAAAAUUUAAUGAAAGCGAGAAGUUUUUGCUUUAAACAUGUAGAGGCCCAAUUUAGCCCGGGUCCAUAAACCAGAAACCAAAAUAAAAAAAUAAAAAAUAAUAACAAUCCAUUUCAUUACAAAGCCCAAGCAAAAUACAGGCCCAAAAGGCCCAAUGGCCUUAAACAAUUCAGAAACCCUAAGGUUUCUGAAUCACCUUCGCAUCGUACCCCCUCCAUGUGCGUCCUCGGCAUGCACACCGCCCAAGGUUCGGCUUUGCCUGCAACAUUGCACCAAAACGGCCACCUACGACCCCGUUGACCCAUUGUGCACCUGCAAAAGAAAACAAAAAAAGAAACAAAGCAAGACAACAGAGCAAAAAGGCGAAAAUAGAGCAGAAACAAAGCAAGAAACAGCAAAAGAGAGAUAAGCCAAAUAACAAGAAAAGAUAAAAUCACAUGUAUUCGGCUAUAUAGCCAUAAGAAUUUCGAUGUAACCUUUUUUACGCAAAAAAAAAAAUAUAGCAAACGAAUACAAAGAAAUCAAAAAUACUUGAAGGUGAUUCAUUUGUUCAUUCUUUGUUCUUUUUUAUUUUAUUUUGAAUUUAUUGCACAAAUACGAGAAAAAGGGGAAGGUUUUUAUUUACCUGUUGUUUGGUGUCGACUGAGUCGGCGUUUGCUUCUCUGGCCCAAAAGCAGACAGAUCCUUGGGGAUCCGGUUAAAGCCACGGCGGAGGAGGCUGAAACUCGAAAGGUUUUCUGACUUUUGAGACUUUUUCGCGAGGGUUUAGGAAAUUUUAGGCUUGGCUUUGAGCUUUGGAGAGCCGAAAGGGUUAAAAGGAGGCCUCUUUUGCGAUUUCUGGCCACCAGGCACGGCGGAGCUCAUUGCCGGUGACCGGUGGCCACCGUGGAUCUCGCCGGAUUUGAUGGCCGGAGCUUUGGGGAGGGGAGAGAGUUGAGAGCCCCUUGUAUUUUUGUUGUUUGAGAAGCAAAAAUAAAUUUUUUUUUAGAAAAGUGAUUUGAAUAGCCUCAGUGAAACGGCACCUUUCAUUUGGGCCUUUAAAAUAUAAAACGGCGUCGUUUCAGUGAAAUGACCCGCGACCCGACCCAUGAACGGCCUAGGAUCCGUAUGUUUUGG